rnacentral:rRNA from 1 species
CCUACGGGAGGCAGCAGUGGGGAAUAUUGCACAAUGGGGGGAACCCUGAUGCAGCGACGCCGCGUGAGCGAGGAAGUAUUUCGGUAUGUAAAGCUCUAUCAGCAGGGACGAAAAAAGACGGUACCUGACUAAGAAGCCCCGGCUAACUACGUUCCAGCAGCCGCGGUAAUACGUAGGGGGCAAGCGUUAUCCGGAUUUACUGGGUGUAAAGGGAGCGUAGACGGCAAGGCAAGCCAGAAGUGAAAGGGCAGGGCUCAACCCUGUACAUGCUUUUGGAACUGUGGUGCUAGAGUGCAGGAGAGGUAAGUGGAAUUCCUAGUGUAGCGGUGAAAUGCGUAGAUAUCUGGAGGAACAUCAGUGGCGAAGGCGACUAUCUGGCACAUAACUGACGCUGAGGAGCGAAAGCGUGGGUAGCAAACAGGAUUAGAUACCCUUGUAGUC